UGGAAGGGCCAUCGCUCAACGGAUAAAAGGUACUCCGGGGAUAACAGGCUGAUACCGCCCAAGAGUUCACAUCGACGGCGGUGUUUGGCACCUCGAUGUCGGCUCAUCUCAUCCUGGGGCUGGAGCAGGUCCCAAGGGUACGGCUGUUCGCCGUUUAAAGAGGUACGUGAGCUGGGUUUAGAACGUCGUGAGACAGUUCGGUCCCUAUCUUCCGUGGGUGUAGGAUACUUGAGAGGAGUUGCCCCUAGUACGAGAGGACCGGGGUGAACGAUCCACUGGUGGACCAGUUGUUAUGCCAAUAGCAGUGCUGGGUAGCUAUGAUCGGACAGGAUAACCGCUGAAGGCAUCUAAGCGGGAAGCCCCCCU
rnacentral:rRNA from 1 species